rnacentral:rRNA from 1 species
GCCAUGCAUGUGCAAGUAUAAGCACCAGUACUGUGAAACUGCGAAUGGCUCAUUAAAUCAGUUAUCGUUUAUUUGAUUGUACAAUUACUACUUGGAUAACCGUAGUAAUUCUAGAGCUAAUACAUGCGAAGAGUCCCGACUUCUGGAAGGGAUGUAUUUAUUAGAUGAAAAACCAAUGCGGGUGGGCAACCGCCCGGUGGUGUGGUGACUCAUAGUAACUGAUCGAAUCGCAGGGCCUUGAGCUGGCGAUGUUUCAUUCAAAUUUCUGCCCUAUCAACUGUCGAUGGUAAGGUAGUGGCUUACCAUGGUUACAACGGGUGACGGAGAAUUAGGGUUCGAUUCCGGAGAGGGAGCCUGAGAAACGGCUACCACAUCCAAGGAAGGCAGCAGGCGCGCAAAUUACCCAAUCCUGACUCAGGGAGGUAGUGACAAGAAAUAACAAUACAGGGCUUUUACAAGUC